rnacentral:rRNA from 1 species
UCCCGGUUGAUCCUGCCAGAGGUUACUGCUAUCGGUGUUCGACUAAGCCAUGCGAGUCAUAUGUUCUUCGUGAACAUGGCGGACUGCUCAGUAACACGUGGAUAACCUGCCCUUAGGUUUGGCAUAACUCCGGGAAACUGGAGAUAAUUCCGAAUAGGUCAAAUAUGCUGGAAUGCUUUUUGACCAAAAGACCUCGGUUGCCUAAGGAUGGAUCUGCGGUCUAUCAGGUAGUAGUGGGUGUAACGUACCUACUAGCCUACGACGGAUAUGGGUUGUGAGAGCAAGAGCCCAGAGAUGGAUUCUGAGACAUGAAUCCAGGCCCUACGGGGCGCAGCAGGCGCGAAAACUUUACAAUGCGGGAAACCGCGAUAAGGGGACACCGAGUGCCAGCAUUUAUGUUGGCUGUCCACAUGUGUAAACGGCAUGUGUUAGCAAGGGCCGGGCAAGACCGGUGCCAGCCGCCGCGGUAACACCGGCGGCCCGAGUGGUAAUCACUUUUAUUGGGUCUAAAGGGUCCGUAGCCGGUUUGAUCAGUUCUUCGGGAAAUCUGACAGCUCGACUGUUAGGCUUCCGGGGAAUACUGUCAGACUUGGGACCGGGAGAGGUAAGAGGUACUACAGGGGUAGGAGUGAAAUCUUGUGAUCCCUGUGGGACCACCAGUGGCGAAGGCGUCUUACCAGAACGGGUCCGAC